UACGAAGGGGGCUAGCGUUGCUCGGAAUCACUGGGCGUAAAGCGCACGUAGGCGGCUCGUUAAGUCGGGGGUGAAAUCCUGGAGCUCAACUCCAGAACUGCCCUCGAUACUGACGAGCUCGAGUCCGGGAGAGGUGAGUGGAACUGCGAGUGUAGAGGUGAAAUUCGUAGAUAUUCGCAAGAACACCAGUGGCGAAGGCGGCUCACUGGCCCGGUACUGACGCUGAGGUGCGAAAGCGUGGGGAGCAAACAGG
rnacentral:rRNA from 2 species